rnacentral:rRNA from 1 species
CUGCUGCCUCCCGUAGGAGUCUGGGCCGUAUCUCAGUCCCAAUGUGGCCGUUCAUCCUCUCAGACCGGCUACUGAUCGUAGCCUUGGUGGGCCGUUACCCCACCAACUAGCUAAUCAGACAUGAGCCCAUCCUUCAGCGAUAAAUCUUUGAUAUCCAGGAGAUGCCUCCCGGAUAUGUUAUGCGGUAUUAGCAGUCGUUUCCAACUGUUGUCCCCCUCUGAAGGGCAGGUUGCUCAUG